GAAAGAUGGUAUAAAAGUGGAGAGUGAAAGUGCCAAAGAUAUCCAGCCAUUCUGAACAGAUUGAUCAUUCCAGUCCAGUUGAUGUUUGGUGAUUAAUGUCUGAGCCAUGUAUAGAAACACCCUUAUCUUUCUGAUCCUGCUGCAUUUAGUGGUCUUCAGUACAAACACUAGUACUACUAGUGAUGAGCAGUUGACUGAAACAACAGCAGAAAGGUCUGUGAGCACUGAGUCUGACUUUACACACACAAGCCUGUCUUCUUCAGCCACAUCCAUGGAUCUGGUCACUAUAUCGGAUCAGCCCAGCAGCUCUGUCGGUGAACCUUCUGAAGAACCGCAAGGUUUAACAUCAGGCCAGAUCGCAGGUAUAGCUGUAGGAUCCAUCGCUGGGGUGGCAGCUCUGGGUGGAGGGAUAUUUGCUGGACUGAAGUACAAUGGCAAACUGGGUGGCUAAUGUGACUCUAGCUGAACCAACUGUAUUUCAUCGUACCAUAAUCAUGAUUUUUUUUUUGCAACAUUUGCUUUUUUUAUGUAGCCUUGUGUCAACUGACAAAAUGGUACAAAAUCAUUAUAAUAGCUCUGACAUGAACAUGUUGAUGGACAAUGGGAGUUUUUUCUCAGAGGUAACUCUCUUUUCUGAGCCAUUUUUGACCUGAGUGAAGUCAUUUCUCCGCUAGUUCACAGGUGUAGAUCAUCAUAUUAAUUAUGAACAAGAUCCACUAAUGUUUUUAACAUUCGCAAAGGGUCAGAAUACUUCUUUUGAAAACAUUUUUUUGUGAUUGUGAUUUUUUUGCGUUGUGAUUUUAUUUUAGAUUUGUGCCAUUUCCAAAAACAAACAAACACCAACAACACCUGGUCUUCAUGUUGAACUACUGUAUUUCUCAUUAAUAAUAAUCUACUGUCUCUAUUUUUGCAAAGUUAUGAUUUUAUGACAUGGCCAUGAGCAGCGAUGAGUUGGCACGAACAUCCUGUGGUGUCGUUUAUGAUAUGCCUGUAUUUUCUCUAUGUAAACAUAAGCAAUACUGUAUUCUGGGAAACCACAAAGCAGUGGUUGUUAUAUGUAUGUUUGUGUAUGUAACCACAGAAUUUGUGAGUUAAUCUUUGAACGAUCUGAUAGAAACAGGACACAGAAGGCAGAAAGAUACAGUCACACAGCAGGUGAAAGAGCCCUCUAUCUCUCUCGCCAUCCAAACAGAGCAGCACAUCAAAUAUUUAUCCCUCUCAGCAACUGCUUUAUAAACACUGUCCAGUUUAAUCCCACAUGCAGUGCAUCUCUGAAUGAACAGGAAGAUACAGACAACGGUAAACAAGUGUAUCAAUGUGGGGGAAAAUUGGAGGGGGGGGAUUAAAAACUACAAAAGAAAGAAAGCCCGCUCCAGGAACACAUCCCUCCGUCCUAAUGUUCAUACUAUCCAUCCUAAUUAGAAGGCAUAUGUGCGAUUAGAAUAAGUGUUUCCCAUAGUGUGUUGAAAAGAGUGUGCCAAAAGUCCCCGGAUGGUCUACCAUUUGAGGUCGAUUGUUUAAGUGUGGAUCCGUGCACACUCUAAUGGCUAAUCUUGCCCACAAUCCCUUGCGCUUUGACGAAUGAUUCAGUUGAGAACAACCAUAGACAGUAAAAGAAACAUGAAUAAAAAUCAUUUAAAAACUACAAAUAUGGUGGAUGUGCGACAGUAGGUUUAGAUAAACAGGGUCGAGUUACUAAUAUUCAACAUUUAACCUGGUAAAAAAUAUUUAUUUAAUGUUUUCUGUGUUGUAUUUAAACUGCAACAGGAAUGUGAACUUUUAUAAACUUCCAUUUGUUCGUUCAUUUUUAAAUGCAUCAUUAUGCAGAAGAUAUGAGCUGAGUUCUCUGUAUGAAGACCCAUGGCUCGCAGAUCAAUGUGCUACUUCAUUUCUCUCCGAUAUGGUAAGAAGUUAACUGAAAUGAGAUUUGGAGGGUGUUUACUGUGACAAGAUGAUUGACAGGUCAGUUUACAGUGUAAACUGGGACGCAGCACAUGUAUGAAGUUCUCCUCAGGUUCAUGCAGGUGUCAGAGUCAUCACAUUAAGAAGGCUAUGAACCUGAUUCACCAACAUUUGGCAACCAGAAUGUGUCCAAAUACUAAGAAAUUAGUAUAUGUAGGCUAUUAUUUUAUCAUUUCUUUGUAAUGUUUUACUAGAAAAUGUGCUUGUAGUAGAAUAAAAUUAAUACCAAUUGGUUUGAAAUAUUAAAUACAAUAACAUUCAUAGACCUGUGUAGCCACUGUAUAUUCUAAGGGCAUAAUUAUUCAGCAACGCUUGGUGUGAUAUUUCCUCUAGUAAAGACCUCUCUGAUUGAUGUGUAA